rnacentral:rRNA from 1 species
AUGAACGCUGGCGGCGUGCCUAAUACAUGCAAGUCGAGCGAACAGACGAGGAGCUUGCUCCUCUGACGUUAGCGGCGGACGGGUGAGUAACACGUGGAUAACCUACCUAUAAGACUGGGAUAACUUCGGGAAACCGGAGCUAAUACCGGAUAAUAUAUUGAACCGCAUGGUUCAAUAGUGAAAGACGGUUUUGCUGUCACUUAUAGAUGGAUCCGCGCCGCAUUAGCUAGUUGGUAAGGUAACGGCUUACCAAGGCAACGAUGCGUAGCCGACCUGAGAGGGUGAUCGGCCACACUGGAACUGAGACACGGUCCAGACUCCUACGGGAGGCAGCAGUAGGGAAUCUUCCGCAAUGGGCGAAAGCCUGACGGAGCAACGCCGCGUGAAUGAUGAAGGUCUUCGGAUCGUAAAACUCUGUUAUUAGGGAAGAAUAAAUGCGUAAGUAACUAUGCACGUCUUGACGGUACCUAAUCAGAAAGCCACGGCUAACUACGUG